rnacentral:rRNA from 1 species
UGGGGAAUAUUGGGCAAUGGAGGGAACUCUGACCCAGCGACGCCGCGUGGGGGAUGAAGGUCUUCGGAUUGUAAACUCCUGUCAUUGGGGACUAAUGGCCAGGCUCAUACCCUGGUUUGAAUUAACCCAAAGAGGAAGCAGUGGCUAACUCUGUGCCAGCAGCCGCGGUAAUACAGAGACUGCAAGCGUUACUCGGAUUCACUGGGCGUAAAGGGAGCGCAGGCGGGAUAGUGUGUCAGGCGUGAAAUCUCGGGGCUCAACCCCGAGGCUGCGCCCGAAACUACUAUUCUAGAAACUUGGAGAGGUAAGCGGAAUUCUUGGUGGAGCAGUGAAAUGCGUAGAUAUCAAGAGGAACACCAACGGCGAAGGCAGCUUACUGGACAAGAUUUGACGCUCAGGCUCGAAAGCGUGGGGAGCAAAAAGG